UGGGGAAUUUUGGACAAUGGGGGAAACCCUGAUCCAGCCAUCCCGCGUGUGCGAUGAAGGCCUUCGGGUUGUAAAGCACUUUUGGCAGGAAAGAAACGUCGCGGGUUAAUACCCCGCGAAACUGACGGUACCUGCAGAAUAAGCACCGGCUAACUACGUGCCAGCAGCCGCGGUAAUACGUAGGGUGCAAGCGUUAAUCGGAAUUACUGGGCGUAAAGCGUGCGCAGGCGGUUCGGAAAGAAAGAUGUGAAAUCCCAGAGCUUAACUUUGGAACUGCAUUUUUAACUACCGGGCUAGAGUGUGUCAGAGGGAGGUGGAAUUCCGCGUGUAGCAGUGAAAUGCGUAGAUAUGCGGAGGAACACCGAUGGCGAAGGCAGCCUCCUGGGAUAACACUGACGCUCAUGCACGAAAGCGUGGGGAGCAAACAGGAUUAGAUACCCUGGUAGUCCACGCCCUAAACGAUGUCAACUAGCUGUUGGGGCCUUCGGGCCUUGGUAGCGCAGCUAACGCGUGAAGUUGACCGCCUGGGGAGUACGGUCGCAAGAUUAAAACUUAAAGGAAUUGACGGGGUGC
rnacentral:rRNA from 1 species